rnacentral:rRNA from 1 species
AGUGAUAACGUAAGGGAAAAUAAUGAUAAUACCUUACUAUCAGUGUUGUCAAAAUUUGGUGCCAGAAGACUCGGUAAGGCCAAAAACGCGAACGUUAGUCAUCUUAAACAGGCGUAAAGGGUUAGUAGGCAGCUUUGAAAUGCUCAAAUUUAACAAAUAGCAACUUAAAUUUUUGUAAAUUAAAAGAUUGAAUCAAAUCUAGGAUAAGACAAACAACACUAAGAGGAGGGCUGAGAUCCUAAGAUACUUAGUAGAGUACUAAAGGCGUAGGCCUUUAUCCUUAAAUGAUUGACGCUGAGGAACGAAGGUGAGGAAAGGAAACAGGAUUAGAGACCCUGGUACCCCUCUCAGUAAACGAUGAAUGGUAGUCACUAAAUAAAAUUUUGGUGUCAAUGUUAACACGUUAACCAUUCCGCCUUGUGAGUACGAUUGCAAAAUUGAAAACAAAAAAAUUAGUCGGUCU